rnacentral:lncRNA from 1 species
ACAACUAAUGAAGUUUAGUUCUGACAUGAAUACUAGUUGAUAUUUUUGUUUGUAUUAAGAAGGGAGGCAAAAGUGAAAUCUGAAGACCCACGUCAGAACUUCACUUAUUGGUCAAUGACAGGAUCUAUUUUGCUGCUGAAUGGGUUAAUAAUUUUUGAAUUAUAGAAGUCCAUUUCCUCAACUUUUUGUGCUGUUCUCAUCAUAAUGCCUAAAGACAUGACACACUUACAAGUUUAAUCUACAUUUUUAACAUUUUCUCCAAUUUUUUCUUAAGUCGAGACAAGUAACAAAGCAAUAAAUAAAGCUCUGGUUGGUAACAUUUGCCAAUUUUCAUGGUGAAUAUACUUCCUCCAUGGUAAAUUUCAAACUAUCGAUGCAAGGUCACUGAGGGCAGAGAAGGGAAGAGAUGCAUAGCAGCACUGUUAGGGACCUAGAGGCAGAAAUAUCAUUUCACCCAGCAAUCCCAUUUGUGGGUAUAUACCCAUAAGAACAUAAAUCAUUCUAUUAUAAAGAUACAUGCAUGUGCAUGUUCACUGCAGCACUAUUCACAAUAGCAAAGACAUGGAAUCAGCCCAUCAGUGAUAGACUGGAUAAAGAAAAUGUGGUACAUAUACACCAUGGAAUACUAUGCAGCCAUAAAAAAGAACAAGAUCAUGUCCUUUGCAGAGACAUGGAUGGAGCUGGAGGCCAUUAUCUUUAGCACACUAACACAGGCACAGAAACCAAAUACUGCAUAUUCUGACUUAUAAGUGGGAGGAAAAUGAUGAGAACACAUAGGUACACAUAGAGGGGAACAAUGCACCCUGGGGCCUACCUGAGAGUAGAGUAUGGGAGGAAGGAGAGGAUCAGGAAAAAUAACUAAUGGGUACUAGGCUUAAUGACUGGGUAAUGAAAUAAUUUGUACAACAAAGCCCCAUGGCAAGGAUUUCAUGUCUAAAACACCAAAAGCAAUGGCAACAAAAGCCAAAAUUGACAAAUGGGAUCUAAUUAAACUAAAGAGCUUCUGCACAGCAAAAGAAACUACCAUCAGGGUGAACAGGCAACCUACAGAAUGGGAGAAAAUUUUUGCAAUC